rnacentral:rRNA from 1 species
CCCUUAGAUGUCCUGGGCCGCACGCGCGUUACACUGAUGCAUUCAACGAGCUUAUAACCUUGGCCGAGAGGCCUGGGCAAUCUUGUUAACGUGCAUCGUGAUAGGGAUAGAUUAUUGAAAUUAUUAAUCUUGAACGAGGAAUCCCUAGUAAACGCAGAUCAUCAAUCUGCAUUGAUUACGUCCCUGCCCUUUGUACACACCGCCCGUCGCUACUACCGAUUGAAUGGUUUAGUGAGAUCUUCGGAUUGGCGCCACUGCGGCUCAGCAAUGGGCUCGGUGGAUGCCGAAAAGUUGAUCAAACUUGAUCAUUUAGAGGAAGUAAAAGUCGUAACA